ensembl:lncRNA
UCUAAAAAUGGCAUUAGCUACCAAAACCGAAGAAAGAAACCACCAGAUUGUCCAAGAGGAGGAGAAAAGAUUUUGAUUCCUUUUCUUUUUUUUUCUUACAGAUUGUUUUUAUGGCUCACAAAGCCAUGCUCAUCAAUCCUUUGGUAUUGACAGCAAGGUAUCCCGCAGUAUCUACCAGGACACACUGUCAGUGACCAAACCUUGGACUGUGACAUGGCCUUAGGACCUCAGCCCAGGACUGUGGAGGAAAGAGAGCAGGAGGCCUAAAGGGGAUGAAUGCAACAAGCCAGAGCAAGGACACAGCUGAUGGGCAGAGCUGCAAGGUCUGCCACUGAGAACACAAGGAGGCAGUGGGCAGCAGCCCAGAAGGAGCCAGAGCCAAAAGUCACAGUUAGCAAAGCUCAGAGCCAAAGCACAAGACAGGAACCAAAGAAGCAGUCAACACUGGGCAGGAAUGUCCAGUGUCAGCAUUCAGCAAGUGCCCUCGUGACCGCCCUCAGUGCAAUGGCGCUUCCUUACCCCCGAUGUGGGCAGCUCCUUUGGAAAGCAGCCACUGCAGCUGGGCUUGGGGGUGCAAUUAACCUUGGAGUCAGGGUGAGCUGCUUACACUUUUACUAGCUUUCCACUAUGAGGAGACAGAGCAGAGACAAGAUCUUUAUACCUAAGAUGUCUCUGGAGUCAUAAAAUUCACCAAAGUGCACUGUAUGGAGGCAGGGCUUAGACAAGGGUGGGUGAGUGAGGUGCCAAGGAUAUCAGACUUCAGGGCCAUUCGCUCUUGGAGUCAUACAGAUGCAGGCCACUGGGACUCAGAGAGGGGAAGGCGCCUCCCUACCCAAGGCUGAGCACUCUGGCCCUGACACCCGAUGGCCUCUGUUCUUUCUGAAGAGUAUUUGCUUCAGGAAGAACAGAGAGGGACUUCCCUGGUGGUCCAGUGGUUAGGAAUCUGCCUUCCAAUGCAGGGGACAAGGGUUCGACCCCUGGUCUGGGAACUAAGAUCCCACAUGGCUUGGGACAACUAAGCCCACCAGCACCACAACUAGAGGGACGCCCACACCCUGCAACGAGGACCACAUGCACUGCAACUAAGACCCAACACGGCCAAAUAAAUGCUAAAAAAAGGAACAGAGAGAAAGCUACUGAGAGACUUCAGCAAAUACUUACUGAAUGAAUAGAUAAUGAAUUAAAACUGACAACAGGGAGAACAGGACUCACAUGAACCCCCUGAAAAUACUCAGUGUUCUUGUUCAUUCUAGUUCUACCUGGUGAUAAACAGACUUGUUUUAUUUUACAUACUAACUUUUUUGAGUCAAUAUCUAUGUUAAGCGCCCACAAGCUUUACCUCUGAAACUUAUCAUUUAAAUCACUUUAAUUGAUUCUGAUCCCAACCAAGUAAGAUUUGUUAAGGAAAGAACAAGUACAAGAGAAAUAGCAUAAAACUUUAUCCAAGAAGACUUAUUCAUCAGUUUUGAUUUGCGUUGGUUGUGAAGAGCUCCCUCACAUCCAUAUUCUAAACUGAAACAGGAGUUUCUUCAAUUUUCCAUUCAAGAGCGAUUUUCUUUCUCCCUUUUUCCCCUCACUGGGCUCCGCAGAUUGGGCUGUCUUCUCUCAGCUUCUGGGGCUGUCAUCUGCCUCC